rnacentral:rRNA from 1 species
AUUGAACGCUGGCGGCAUGCUUUACACAUGCAAGUCGAACGGUAACAGGCCGCAAGGUGCUGACGAGUGGCGAACGGGUGAGUAAUGCAUCGGAACGUGCCCAGUCGUGGGGGAUAACGCAGCGAAAGCUGUGCUAAUACCGCAUACGAUCUAUGGAUGAAAGAGGGGGACCGUAAGGCCUCGCGCGAUUGGAGCGGCCGAUGUCAGAUUAGGUAGUUGGUGGGGUAAAGGCGCACCAAGCCAACGAUCUGUAGCUGGUCUGAGAGGACGACCAGCCACACUGGGACUGAGACACGGUCCAGACUCCUACGGGAGGCAGCAGUGGGGAAUUUUGGACAAUGGGGGCAACCCUGAUCCAGCAAUGCCGCGUGCAGGAAGAAGGCCUUCGGGUUGUAAACUGCUUUUGUACGGAACGAAACGGUCUGGGUUAAUACCCUGGGCUAAUGACGGUACCGUAAGAAUAAGCACCGGCUAACUACGUGCCAGCCGCCGCCGUAAGAC